UAUGGAGAGUUUGAUCCUGGCUCAGGACGAACGCUGGCGGCGUGCCUAAUACAUGCAAGUCGAGCGGAGCUGACGGAGUGCUUGCACUCCUGAUGCUUAGCGGCGGACGGGUGAGUAACACGUAGGCAACCUGCCCUCAAGACUGGGAUAACUACCGGAAACGGUAGCUAAUACCGGAUAAUUGAUUCCUUCACCUGAGGGGAUUAUGAAAGGCGGAGCAAUCUGUCAUUUGAGGAUGGGCCUGCGGCGCAUUAGCUAGUUGGUGAGGUAACGGCUCACCAAGGCGACGAUGCGUAGCCGACCUGAGAGGGUGAACGGCCACACUGGGACUGAGACACGGCCCAGACUCCUACGGGAGGC
rnacentral:rRNA from 1 species